GAGGGUACAGCUCAAGUGGUAGAGCACAUGCUUAGCAUGCACAAGGUCCUGGGUUCAAUCCCCAGUACCUUCU
rnacentral:tRNA from 1 species